rnacentral:lncRNA from 1 species
GGUUUGAGAACAACCUGGAACACAUCAUAUAAUGAAUAGGCUCUAUCUUCCUUGCCUGGAAGGUUUUCAGAGUUCACCAUGUGUCAACACAUAUGCAUCUGUGGCUUCAUGGAUGUACCCUAUUCUCCAAUGGUAGAGGAAAAACAGUGAAGAUGAUUCUGCAUCAUGUUAUGUAGGCACCAUCCUGAAGGUGACAGCUUCAGCUCUACAGCCCUUUCCCAGGAUAUUCCUGAAGAAGAGUGGUAAAGAGA